UACGUAGGGUGCGAGCGUUGUCCGGAAUUACUGGGCGCAAAGAGCUCGUAGGUGGUUUGUCGCGUUGUUCGUGAAAACCGGGGGCUUAACCCUCGGCGUGCGGGCGAUACGGGCAGACUUGAGUACUGCAGGGGAGACUGGAAUUCCUGGUGUAGCGGUGGAAUGCGCAGAUAUCAGGAGGAACACCGGUGGCGAAGGCGGGUCUCUGGGCAGUAACUGACGCUGAGGAGCGAAAGCGUGGGGAGCGAACAGG
rnacentral:rRNA from 1 species